rnacentral:misc_RNA from 1 species
AUAGUUGCUCUAAAGAUUCUCUUUUGAUAAAGGACCACAAGAGUGUGAUGUUCAGUAAGGUUCUCCCCGAAAAUGACCCCUAUCUACCAUUGUUAACAUUUAUCACAGUGUGAAAGAUGUGUGAUCAGUUUUGAGUGCUGUUUUCCCCUGAGAAUUUGCUUUUCUUGUUUUUAAAAACUUUUAUUGUUUUAUUUGUGGCUACACAUGCAUGUAAACUUCCUGUGUGCUCUGUAUAUAAAAUAUGGCAAUCUUUUAAUUUGAUUGUAAAUUGUGUGGUAACAAUGAAAAUGUUUCUUUUUUGGACAGUAAGCUUAAGCUUGUGUCCUGUACAAUUGGUAUAUUUUGGUUUCCUUGCAGCAGGUAGCUUAUUGCCGUAGCCAUUGCGUUGUUAUGUUUUAAUUGUGAUAGUUGAUGAAGCGCCAUCAGAUGGGUUCACUAAACACAAGUCCUUGUAUCAUGUAUCUCUGCAGUUAUUUUAUUUUGAAAAUGUUAUUGUAUUUAAGUAAAUUCUUUUUCUUUGGAUAAAAGAAAAUAUUUUGGAUUUUGCUGACAAAAAAUUAAGAGUUUUAAGCACUUGCUACAUUAUUGUGUGGAUAUUCAACAUUUAAAAACUUAUUUGCAUUAACGUGUGUAGAAUUAUAUUAUGUGUUCAUCUUACAGUGUACAUACUACUUGUGUAUAAUCCUAUCCAAAAGAGAUAAUUUUUGUUCGAAAUGUGCAGGUUGAAGGCAUUUUACCCAGAUCUAUUCUAACUACAUAAAUUAUUUGAAAAACAAUAUACUAGUAGCAAGUGUUCUUUAUGAUUAAAACUGACUAAUUCUUUACCCAUCGACAUUGAAUCCACGCUUUUCUAUUUCCCCCAUAGAUUUUUUAAUUCCCCCUGAUUUCAUUGAGCGCUCCACGAAAGGUAAACGUGAUUGGUUAGAGUGAUAGAUCAUAUAUAUGUAUAUCACAAUUAUAUGUAUUUAUUAUUUACAGAUACAAAAUAAAGUAGACAAAUAUU